rfam:Rhizobium sp. R72 R711_NODE_12, whole genome shotgun sequence.
CGUUAACGCGAGGAGACAGACAUGGGACUUACACAAUCCUUGAAUGUCCUUUUGGUCAGCGCGGCGUUUGCAUUUGUAUUGACAAUGCUUUUCAUCUGAACGUCGUGGCAAUCGAACAGUACCGAGACUCCUGAGUAGCGAAACAGUUCAAUGAAUCGGAAAAGCGCAUCCCACGAGGAGAUGCGCUUU